rnacentral:rRNA from 1 species
UAAUCGCAGAUCAGCAUGCUGCGGCGAAUACGUUCCCGGGCCUUGUACACACCGCCCGUCACACCAUGGGAGUCGGUAACACCCGAAGCCUGUAGUCUAACCGCAAGGAGGACGCAGUCGAAGGUGGGAUUGAUGACUGGGGUGAAGUCGUAACAAGGUACC